GAUGAACGCUGGCGGCGUGCCUAAUACAUGCAAGUCGAGCGAACAGACGAGGAGCUUGCUCCUCUGACGUUAGCGGCGGACGGGUGAGUAACACGUGGAUAACCUACCUAUAAUACUGGGAUAACUUCGGGAAACCGGAGCUAAUACCGGAUAAUAUAUUGAACCGCAUGGUUCAAUAGUGAAAGACGGUUUUGCUGUCACUUAUAGAUGGAUCCGCGCCGCAUUAGCUAGUUGGUAAGGUAACGGCUUACCAAGGCAACGAUGCGUAGCCGACCUGAGAGGGUGAUCGGCCACACUGGAACUGAGACACGGUCCAGACUCCCACGGGCGGCAGCAGUAGGGAAUCUUCCGCAAUGGGCGAAAGCCUGACGGAGCAACGCCGCGUGAGUGAUGAAGGUCUUCGGAUCGUAAAACUCUGUUAUUAGGGAAGAACAAAUGUGUAAGUAACUAUGCACGUCUUGACGGUACCUAAUCAGAAAGCCACGGCUAACUACGUG
rnacentral:rRNA from 1 species